UACGUAGGUGGCAAGCGUUGUCCGGAGUUAUUGGGCGUAAAGCGCGCGCAGGCGGUUCGGCAAGUCCAUGGUGAAAGCGCCCGGCUCAACUGGGCGAGUGCCGUGGGGACUGCCGAGCUGGAGGGGAGCAGAGGCGAGUGGAAUUCCGGGUGUAGUGGUGAAAUGCGUAGAGAUCCGGAGGAACACCAGUGGCGAAGGCGGCGACCUGGUCCUUGACUGACGCUGAGGCGCGAAAGCGUGGGGAGCAAACAGG
rnacentral:rRNA from 1 species